rnacentral:lncRNA from 10 species
CAGCACUCCUUCUCCCACUCAUCCUGAGGUCACGGAACUUAAAAGAGGAACCAGGUGUACAGGCAGAACAUGAAAGUGGAAAGGAGCGUGGCCACUGAAGCACAGCACCACAGGGAGGGGUUUAGUCCUCCAGAUGACUGCGAGCAGGGCUGGAUAAUGUCAGACCUCCCACUAGAGCUGGUGGAGCAGAGUGUUCUCUAACUUCCCCCAAGGAAAGGGAAACUCCCUUUCCCGGUCCGCUAAGUAACGGGUGCCUUCCCAGGCACUGGCGCUACCGCUAGACCAAGGUGUCCUCAAGCGGCCUUUAUCAGGAUGUGAUAGAGGACUUUCACUCUUAUCUUCUGCUCACUUCUCACAAUGUCCCUUCAGCUCCUGACUCUGUAUUGGCUGGUCUUUCCUCGGUUAUAAUAAUAAUACAGAGAUUAAUACUAAAAACUAAUGAUUGAUAAUAUCCAUAUAUAAUCAUCUCUAUAUCCUAUUUCUUUUUCUUUUUUUUUUUUUUUUUGACAUGGAGUUUCACUCUGUCGCCCAGGCUGGAGUGCAGUGGCGUGAUCUCAGCUCACUGCAAGCUCCACCUCCUGGAUUCAUACCAUUCUCUCGCCUCAGCCUCCUGAGUAGCUGGGACUACAGGCGCCUGCCACCAUGCCUAGCUAAUUUUUUGUUUUUGUAUUUUUAGUAGAGACAGGGUUUCACCCUGUUAGCCAGGAUGGUCUCAAUCUCCUGACCUCGUGAUCCGCCCACCUUGGCCUCCCAAAGUGCUGGGAGCCACUGCAUCCAGCUCUAUUUCCUACUUCUAAUAUAACUUUUCUUAUUCUAACUAUUUUCUUUACUAUAUUGGAACAGGUUGUGCCCUCAGUCUCUUGCCUCAGCACCUGGGUAGGUUUCCGCCUACAUGUAACCAGUGACUUCAAAUAUUCUGUUUUAUCUAAGAAGUACAACGAAGGUCAUGAGAAGCCUGAGUAGGCCUGAACUACAGCUGCCUGGGCACCAUAGUGAAGGUUAUAGGAUAAGCCCAUGCCCAGACAAACCUAGAUAACGGACAUCUGGGUUACUUGGCAACAGUCAUGUGCAAUCCUGUCUUUGUCCUGCCUCUGUAUUGCUGCUUUUCACACCACUGUAAGCUUGCUUCAAGCUAGCCCACCACCUUCUGUGAAGUAUGUAUAAAAGUCAGAUGCUGUCUUUGUUCCGGGCCCAGUCUUUUGGACGUUGAGUCAGCUGGGCCUGAGUGCACUCAAUAAAGAUUCUAGUUUCAACCUGAGGUCUCUCUCGUCCUCCUGAAUCCUGCAACAUUUCCAGUAGAGACAGGAUUUCACCAUGUUGGCCAGACUGGCCUCAAACGCCUGACAUCAAGUGAUCUGCCCACCUCUACCUCUCAAAGUGCUGGGAUUACAUGCGUGAGCCACCAUGCUCUACCGUUUUCUUCCCUUUUUAAACAGAAUAAAACUCAUUAUGUCUUGCAAUGACCAUAUAGAUCUAUUGGUAGGCCCUCUUAUAACCUGUCAGCACCAUCCAGCCAAAGGCCACCAGGAACACACCUGUCAUGACAUGAGUUAGCUUUGAGGGAGAACGUUUUGCAUGCCACGGGGAACUGUGGGGCAAAUAAGUAAGAGGGUGUCAGGGAUGGUUUAUUACAGGAUUUGGGCAUGUGUUAGGUGGUUUGAGGAGUCCUUUCUCUGGGAUGCUCUCAGGAAGUGGGGGUAAUUCUAUGAUUGAGGAUCUUAACAAAUUUCACCAAGAAGGAGGGAAGAGUAGAGGAAGGCCAAAGCCGUAAUUGGCUAAAGUAGCAGCAGUCGAUCCUAUUAGCCAGGACAUGGGGUAUGGCCUGGCUGUGAAUCCCAGACCCACUUCUGGUUCUGCUUUUCUCUUUCCAAAAAUCCAAGACAUAUUGUGGGAUCUUAGCGGUCUUACUUCUUCUGCAUCUUGAAAUGAUUUGCUAUUUCAUCAUCCUGGGAAAUCUUCUGUAGUUAAUUCAUUGAUUCCCAAAAAUGACUUAAGAGUCUUCAAGAGGCCAGGCACGGUGGCUUAUGCCUUAAUCCCAGCACUUUGGGAGGCCGAGGCGGGCGGAUCAUGAGGUCAGGAGUUUGAGACCAGCCUGGCCAACAUAGUGAAACUGUGUCUCUACUAAAAAUACAAAAAUUAGCCGGGCAUGGUGGUGCAUGCCUAUAAUCCCAGCUACUCAGGAGGCUGAGGCAGGAGAAUCGCUUGAAUCUGAGAGGCGGAGGUUGCAGUGAGAGGAUUGUGCCACUGCACUGCAGCCUGGGUGACAGAUUGAGACUCUCUCAAAAAAAAAAAAAAAAAAAAAGAGGUGUAAGAAUUAAAGAGGAAAGAAACAUGAAAGGGGAUGGGCAGUGGGGAAGUGGAGUAACAUGUACCACAGAGUAACAGAGGGAGGGGUGGUAGAAGGUGAUUGGAGAGUGUGACCCUGGAAGUGGAUGGUGGAUGGCGUUAUGGCAUCAGCAAUGACAAGAUCUAGACUUAGACCAGGGAAGUGAGUGGCUGGGGUACGUAAGGCCUAGGUCAAGGAACUGGGGAACUGGGUGUCAACUGAUGACAGGAGUUAUGUUGGAAAGUGAGCCAGGAGCUAAAACCUUCAAGGAAUAAGUAAGUGUUGGCAUGAGUGUGACUGGCCACCAGGACAGAUGACAGCAAUAAAGGGAGGUAGUGGGCAGUAUGGGUACAAGGCACAAUGGAAUGAGGGGUGGGGAGAACCAACAGAGAAAGGAAAGCAAUCAAUGUCCUUAGUGGAGGAUAAAGCGAAAGAAGAAAGGAGGCUGGGAAUAGGGAGGACAGCAGGAAAAUGAGCAAGGUUUCAGGAAUCAGACACGGGAUAAGAGAUGAAGCUUCUUGUGCCUGACCCACACAGAGCAGAAAUGCAGAACUUCAGGGUCAUUCUACAGUGAGUGGCAGAUACAUGGAAGACAGCUGCAGCAUUAGUUCUUUGCACUCACUACCUGGGGGAUGUCACCUCUGUCCAAGUAUAAUGCCCAGGGGGUUCUCCUUGCCUGCUGCCUAAACAGAGCUGAUUCAUCAGAACAGGGGAAUUGCAAUAGAGAAAGAGUAAUUUGGCUGGGUGCAGUGGCUCACACCUGUAAUCCCAGCACUUUGGGAGGCCAAGGCAGGUGAAUCACCUAAGGUCAGGAGUUUGAGACCAACCUGGCCAACACAGUGAAACCCUGUCUGUACUAAAAAUACCAAAAAUUAGCCGGGCGUGGUGGCACGUGCCUAUAAUCCCAGCUAUUGGGGAGGCUGAGGCAGGAGAAUCGCUUGAACCUGAGAGGCGGAGGAUGCUGUGAGCCAAGAUCCUGCCAUUGCACUCCAGCCUGGGCAACGAAAGUGAAACUCCAUCUCAAAAAAGAAAGAGUAAUUCACGCAGGGCUGGCUGUGUGGGAGACCGGAGUUUUAUUAUUACCCAAAUCAGUCUACC